GGCGGCAUGACUCAGGAGGUAGAGUGGUUGGUCUAGGAAUCAGAAGGUUCCUAGUUCGAUCCUUGGCUCCUUCA